CAUUCUGAGUGAAAAACCUUUAAAAAUGUAAAAUGUCAUUUUCCCAAGUUUAAUUUUCUUUAAAUUGUUUUAAAGAAUUUGUUGUAUGUACUUUUUUAUUAAUUAAUGUAGUAAUUUCAACUGAAAAGUGACCUCUCCCCCACCACACUGAUUUCUCAUUGCAUUCAAUAGUUUCUAGCCCUGACGAAAAAAACCAGUUUUUAGUUGGAAAAUUAUGUAAUUAUGAAGAAUAUAAGAGUAUUUAUUGUAUUUAUUGAUAAAUAUUUCUCCAAAAUAAGAUUUUUUUAAUUAAAACAAAUUACUGAUCAACAAUGAGGACACUGACCUUGAUACGGAAAUUAAAACCCAACAAAUUCGUGAAAAAUAACCUAAAUUUUAUGUGGAUUGACACCUUAUGGUUUAUGAGUAUUCAUUUUAACUACGGAAGACCUGUUCUAGAUUCCUGUGAGGUGAUAGGUCUCCAAGUGUUAACCUGCAUAUUCAUCAAAGUAUUAUGAGCCAUCCAUUGGAAAUAAGUUCAAAAAAUGGUUCCAAUAAUCUAUGAAAUGAUUAUGAUAUGCUCAGCCAUUACUUUGAUUGAUUUACAGACGAGGUUAUCUUUGUUUCUCGCAUAAUAAUGAUGUUUCAAAUAAAAUGUAUAAAUAAAUUUAAAAACACAUCUCUGAGAUUACUUGAAGAGAGUAUACAGCAGCUCUUUGUCCGUAUUCACUCACCAGAUGUUCUCGAAAAUAAAACUUGCAGAAGUCGACUACUGCAUUAUUGCAAUGAAAGGAGAUGGAAAGAAUUAAAUAAGGAGAGAAGACGAUACAGAAAAAAAGGAAAAGAGAAAAAAUAGACGGCUCAAAAGGGUUAAGAAGUAAAAAGGGCUCAUAUGAAAGGUAGUUUAAGUGGAUUGGAAGAA